GUGGCUGGCACAAAGAGACGAUGGAGCUGCCGUUUUGAACAUGCCUAGUCCCAGUGUCUGAGGCGCAUGGCCCCGGGAGAGGAGGAGAAUGGGACGGUGGUUCAGAUCUGCUGAUGUAGCUGUGGUCAGUCACUGGGGAGAAUAGGCCUGUGGAUUUCUGCUCCUCUGAGAUGGAUCCAUCACUGACUACUGAACUUGUUUUCUCAUUGGCUCAACUUAAGAAGGUUCUAGAGGAUCAAGGACGUGAAACAACCAAAACCAAAGAGCAGCUGGAGACCACUUGCCAGUGAUUAGCACGAGCUUCUGGACCAGCAGCUUGCCCCGUGACGUCUGUUCUCUGAUGAAUUGAUGAUCUGGAGACUUUAAUAUGGGAUUUAUGAUGGCUAAAGAGCAUUACCUACCCAAGAGGAACCUUUAAUCCAGGGAGGAAGUUAUGAGUUUUUGGUUCAUUUUGUGGUCAACCUCAUUCCUUCUAGUUUUGUCUAUGGCCUAGGCGAGAGAAAAUAAUUGGAAAUGCUAUGAUGAAAAUAAUAGAACGAUUCCUCUUGUUGCUAUGGUGACAAGAAUAAAUUGAAUCCAUUGCUCUGAAAAA
ensembl:lncRNA novel transcript, antisense to C7orf33 and CNTNAP2